rnacentral:rRNA from 1 species
UUGCACGCUGGCGGCAGGCCUCACCCAUGCCAUUCGAGCGGAUGAAGGGAGCUUGCUCCUGGAUUCAGCGGCGGACGGGUGAGUAAUGCCUAGGAAUCUGCCUGGUAGUGGGGGAUAACGUCCGGAAACGGGCGCUAAUACCGCAUACGUCCUGAGGGAGAAAGUGGGGGAUCUUCGGACCUCACGCUAUCAGAUGAGCCUAGGUCGGAUUAGCUAGUUGGUGGGGUAAAGGCCUACCAAGGCGACGAUCCGUAACUGGUCUGAGAGGAUGAUCAGUCACACUGGAACUGAGACACGGUCCAGACUCCUACGGGAGGCAGCAGUGGGGAAUAUUGGACAAUGGGCGAAAGCCUGAUCCAGCCAUGCCGCGUGUGUGAAGAAGGUCUUCGGAUUGUAAAGCACUUUAAGUUGGGAGGAAGGGCAGUAAGUUAAUACCUUGCUGUUUUGACGUUACCAACAGAAUAAGCACCGGCUAACUUCGUG